rnacentral:rRNA from 1 species
GACGAACGCUGGCGGCGUGCUUAACACAUGCAAGUCGAACGGAAAGGCCCCUUUGGGGGUACUCGAGUGGCGAACGGGCGAGUAACACGCGAGUAAGCUGCCCUCGACUUCGGGAUAACUUCAGGAAACUGGGGCUAAUACCGGACAGGAAUCCUUGCUUCCUGGUGGGGGGUGGAAAGCAUCGGGGGGUUUGGAUGGACUCGCGGCCUAUCAGGCUGCUGGUGGGGGGGUGGGUUGCCAAGGCAUUGACGGGUAGGCGGCCGGGGAGGGCGGACGGCCACAAUGGGGCUGGGAAUCGGCCCAGACUCCUACGGGGGGCAGCAGUGGGGAAUAUUUCCCCAUGGGCCGGAGCCCGAUGCAGGAACGCCGCGUGCGGGAUGACCGCCUUUCGGUUGUAAACCGCUUUCAGCAGGGGCGGAGGUUGUGGUGACGGUACCUGCAGAAGAAGCACCGGCUAACUACGUG